UACGUAGGGGCCAAGCGUUGUCCGGAUUCAUUGGGCGUAAAGGGCGCGUAGGCGGCGAGGUAAGUCGGGUGUGAAAUCUCAGAGCUCAACUCUGAAACUGCACUCGAUACUGCUUUGCUAGAGGACUGGAGAGGAGAUUGGAAUUCACGGUGUAGCAGUGAAAUGCGUAGAGAUCGUGAGGAAGACCAGUGGCGAAGGCGGAUCUCUGGACAGUUCCUGACGCUGAGGCGCGAAGGCCAGGGGAGCAAACGGG
rnacentral:rRNA from 1 species